rnacentral:rRNA from 1 species
UAGGGAAUAUUGGUAAUGUGCGAAAGCGCGAACCAGCAACGCCGCGUGCACGAUGAAGGCCUUCGGGUUGUAAAGUGCUUUUAGAGAGGAUGAGGAAGGACAGUACUUUCUGAAUAAGCCUCGGCUAACUACGUGCCAGCAGCCGCGGUAAAACGUAGGAGGCUAGCGUUAUCCGGAUUUACUGGGCGUAAAGCGCGUGCAGGUGGUUUCGUAAGUUGGAUGUGAAAGCUCCUGGCUUAACUGGGAGAGGUCGUUCAAAACUGCGAGGCUUGAGAGUGGUAGAGGGAGGUGGAAUUCCGGGUGUAGUGGUGAAAUGCGUAGAUCUCCGGAGGAACACCAGUGGCGAAAGCAGCCUCCUGAACCAUUUCUGACACUCAGACGCGAAAGCUAAGGUAGCAAACG